CCCUUAGAUGUUCUGGGCUGCACGCGUGCUACACUGAUAUUGCCAAUAUGUCAUUCUUAUCCGAAAUGGAUUGGGUAAUCAAGUAAUGAAAUUUCAUGCUUGGAAUCGGUAAUUGCAAUUUUAUCGUGAACGAGGAAUUCCUAGUAAGCACUAGUCAUCAGCUAAUGUUGAUUAUGUCCCUGCCCUUUGUACACACCGCCCGUCGCUACUACUGAUUGGGUGUUCAAGUGAGAUGCCUAGACCCUUGUUGCAUGGUUCAUUAUUGCGCUCCGAAAGGAAAAAGUUUCAAGCUUGAGUGUCUAGAGGAAGUAAAAGUCGUAACA
rnacentral:rRNA from 1 species